GACGAAGGGGGCUAGCGUUGUUCGGAAUUACUGGGCGUAAAGCGCGUGUAGGCGGUUAUCCAAGUUGGAUGUGAAAGCCUUGAGCUUAACUCAAGAAAUGCAUUCAGGACUGGGUGACUAGAGGACCGGAGAGGAUAGUGGAAUUCCCAGUGUAGUGGUGAAAUACGUAGAGAUUGGGAAGAACACCAGUGGCGAAGGCGGCUAUCUGGACGGUUUCUGUCGCUAAGACGCGAAAGCGUGGGGAGCAAACAGG
rnacentral:rRNA from 1 species